GAAACACCCCGGCGCCUGCCCCCUUGGGGCUGACAGUCCAGAGGGACGACAGACGUUCACAAAUGUUGUGCGAACCCAUGGGUACGGGCGGUGAUGCGUGCCCUGGGGAGGGUCUCAUAAGACGUUUGCCUCUUUUAAUCCUGUCCAUGAGCAGCUAUAUGAUGAUGAUGUGAUAUCUGGAGCUGCAACAGCCAUCUUGCAGCCAUAAGGCAACAAGCUUGACUACAACAGCAGAGAUACUGAACACACUGAGGUGAAAGAAUACAAGAUCUAAGGUCUUAUGAUGAUGGUGAUAUAUAAUACUCCUUUACCUACUAAAUAUGCAGCCCUGCAGCCCUAGGCCCUGGGAAUAGUACAGUUUCACUCGACAGAUGCAUUCAGUGGUGUGUGGAGCAACCAGCUCAAGCCAGUUCCUAACAGCUGACUGUGAACAUCCCUCCCCCACUGCAGGUUCAGUGAUCUCACUUUUGAGGCUUGACGUGAGCCACACUGUAUUUACUCCCCAGAAACUGAUGGCGGAGUAGACGGAUGUGAGCUCCUCUCCUGUGAGAACCCCACAAACUGCAACUCGCUGCCCAACAACCAUCGACAGGAGAAUGUCGGAUCCCACCAAAAACAGAUACUUUGCCAACAAAGGUCCGUCUCAUCAAGGCUAUGGUUUUCCCAGUGGUCAUGUAUGGAUGUGAGAGUUGGACUAUAAAGAAAGCUGAGCACAGAAGAAUUGGUGCUUUUGAACUGUGGUGUUGGAGAAGACUCUUGAGAGUCCCUUGGACUGCAAGGAGAUCCAACCAGCUCAUCCUAAAGGAAAUCGGUCCUGAGUGUUCAUUGGGAGGACUGAUGCUGAAGCUGAAACACCAAUAUUUUGGUCACCUGAUGUGAAGAACUGACUCAUUGGAAAACACCCUGAUGCUGGGAAAGAUUGGGAGAAUCCCAGGGACAGAGGAGCCUGACGGGCUAUGGUCUAUAGGGCUCAAAAGAGUUGGACACAACUGAAGUGACGAACACACUGCCUUCUUUUGGUGCUCAUCUGUUGGUGAAGAAUUCAGUUUUUCGUUGCCUGAAAUUAAUGUCUUUAUCUCACCUCCAAUUUUGAAGUUUUCUCCUGCUGUAGAGUUCUAGGUUGGCAUUUAUUUUUUAGCACUUAAAUAUGGCAUCAGUUUUGUUUCAAAUGACUGCAGGUCUUCUCAUUGCUCCUUUGAAAAGAAUGUGUCCUUUUUCUCUCAGUGCUUUUAAGACUUUGCCUUUGGAGUUCAGCAAUUUUCCUCUGAUGUGUCUCCAUGUGUGUGUUGACUUUUACUGAAGUCUAAUAGAUUAAAAUUGGACAUGUAGAAUGCACAGCUUGACGAAUCCUCACAGAAUCAGCACUCCUAGGUUUUCCAGUAACUUCUCUCCAAAGGUAAUGACUUUGCUGACUUCAACAGCAUGGGUUAAAUGUGCGUGUUAUGGUUCUUUAUCUCAGCGUGAAUAUUCUCUGCAGUCUGUGUGUGUGUGUGUGUGUGUGUGUGUGUGUGUGGCUUCCUCUGCUCAACCGAAUAUUUUAAGAUUUGUCCAACACCCUGGGUGCUGUGGAGUGUUUUAUUGUGUGAAUCACCACCACGCGUACAUCCCCCCUAGUGUAAAGAGGCAUUUGCUUAGCUUCCAGUUUACGUUAGGAUGGAAAGUGUUGCUUUGAAUGUGUUAAUUCAUGUCCAGUGGUGAGCGUAUACGUGCGUUUCUGUUGGAAUAAAC